rnacentral:lncRNA from 1 species
CUCCAAACAUGUAUUAGAAACCACCGUUUGCUGUUCUUCGUCUUCUGUUCUCUGAUGAUCAUCAUGUUCUGGAGGAACACAGCAGUUCUGAUCCUGAUCCAGCUGAUUCAGGCUCAGCAGGUGUUUGCAGCUCCAUCGUUUACUGAACACAGAAGCCUGGAGGUUUCCAGAGGAGAUUCAGUCACUUUGACUUGUAACGUGUCUGUGGAAGAAGCAACAGAAAUCAAAUGGACCAAAAACAAUUUAUUAUUUCAUCAUUCCGUCAUUCUCAACGCCACAGUUUCAAAUUUCUCUUUUUCUAACAUCAGAAUCGAGACCGACCUCCCUACAAAGUUAAUGUUUCUGAAUGUUCAGGAUGAAGAUGAAGGAUUUUAUAAUUGUACUGUAACUGACAGUAAAGGAUUUAAAGGAAUUACAUGGAAGUUAAAUCUGCUCGAGAAAAGUAAAGGUUUGUAUUGUUUGACUGGAAAAGUUGAAGUAGACAAACUGUAAACUACUGACAUGACGUUUUUAUUUUUUAAUUUAUUUUCAGGAAUCAGAUUUUUAAUUCGUCCCUAUCUAGUAGCCCUGAUUGGAGCAGCGAUUCCUCUGUUUUUUCUGCCCUUUUAGUCGUCUGCUUCUACAGGUGAGUUUUUCCCGUUCAGACAUAAACUGCGUUCUAAAUUCUUAAUGCAGGUGACAACAUAUUUUUCAAGACUCGUACUGUUGGAGUAUAAAUAAAUGUUAUUUAAGC